UUUCCCUUGGAUAACAUCAGUGGUGUGGAGAGAGGAGGCCGGUAUGCAUGGGCUACUGCUGGUCUUCUAUAAACAACCUUGUCUGGACUUGUGCCUUGGAGGGUAAUUUUCUAGGUGCAAUCCCAUGGUCAUUCAAGACCAAAGGGAAUCUUUACAAUGGGAUGAGGUGGUGAAGCACAACCCUCGAACGUUGGGCCUCACAGAGGCAAAGGCAAAAUACCGAGACCUUUGGAGAUACGCUGUGAUUGAGAAGAUUGUUGUUUGUGAGUGUAAGAGUUAAUCUGUUGCUUGGUUUCACAUCACCACCCAACUCCUGAGUGCCCAUGCCUUGAUGCACACUCCAAUUCGAGCCAGGUUUCUUGUCUGAGGAUAACUUCUUCCCACCAGUCUAAGGAGUCCUGUAAAGAAAGAGUGUAGGUCUCGGUG